CCUACGGGAGGCAGCAGUUUCGAAUCAUUCACAAUGGGCGAAACCCUGAUGGCGCGACGCCGCGUGGGGGAUGAAGGUCUUCGGAUUGUAAACUCCUGUCAUUGGGGACUAAUGGCCAGGCUCAUACCCUGGUUUGAAUUAACCCAAAGAGGAAGCAGUGGCUAACUCUGUGCCAGCAGCCGCGGUAAU
rnacentral:rRNA from 1 species